GGGUGCGAUCAUACCAGCGUUAAUGCACCAGAUCCCAUCAGAACUCUGCGGUUAAGCACGCUUGGGCUAGAGUAGUAUUGGGAUGGGUGACCUCCCG
rfam:Picea glauca, whole genome shotgun sequence.